rnacentral:rRNA from 1 species
AAUCCUACGGGGGGCAGCAGUGAGGAAUAUUGGUCAAUGGGAGGAAUCCUGAACCAGCCAUGCCGCGUGCAGGACGACGGCUCUACGGGUUGUAAACUGCUUUUGUACCGGGGUAAAAUGCCUUACGAGUAGGGUUUUGAAAGUACGGUACGAAUAAGGCACGGCUAACUCCGUGCCAGCAGCCGCGGUAAUACGGAGGAUCCGAGCGUUACCCGGAUUCAUUGGGUUUAAAGGGUGCGUAGGGUGUUUUAUAAGUUAGCGGUGCAAUACCGAUGCUCAACAUC